rnacentral:rRNA from 1 species
AUUGAACGCUGGCGGCAUGCUUUACACAUGCAAGUCGAACGGUAACAGGCCGCAAGGUGCUGACGAGUGGCGAACGGGUGAGUAAUGCAUCGGAACGUGCCCAGUCGUGGGGGAUAACUACUCGAAAGAGUAGCUAAUACCGCAUACGAUCUAUGGAUGAAAGCGGGGGACCGUAAGGCCUCGCGCGAUUGGAGCGGCCGAUGUCAGAUUAGGUAGUUGGUGGGGUAAAGGCUCACCAAGCCAACGAUCUGUAGCUGGUCUGAGAGGACGACCAGCCACACUGGGACUGAGACACGGCCCAGACUCCUACGGGGGGCAGCAGUGGGGAAUUUUGGACAAUGGGCGCAAGCCUGAUCCAGCAAUGCCGCGUGCAGGAAGAAGGCCUUCGGGUUGUAAACUGCUUUUGUACGGAACGAAACGGCUCUGGUUAAUACCCGGGGCUAAUGACGGUACCGUAAGAAUAAGCACCGGCUAACUACGUG